rnacentral:sRNA from 1 species
CUGUAACAGCUGCUGCAGAGAUUGCUGCAGUAGUUGCUGCAGCAGUUCCCAGAGCAGUUGCUGCAGCAGCUGCAGCAGUUGCUGCAGCAGUUGCUGUUGCAGUUGCUGCAGCAGCUGCUGCUGCAGCAGUUGCUGUUGCAGUUGCUGCAGCAGCUGCUGCUGCAGCAGUUGCUGUUGCAGUUGCUGCAGCAGCUGCUGCUGCAGCAACUGCUGCAGCAGCUGCUGCAGCAACAGCCGCAAAGCCCCCGGAGUGUCUGCAUGCAGCC